GAUGAAGAACGCAGCGAAAUGCGAUAAGUAAUGUGAAUUGCAGAAUUCAGUGAAUCAUCGAAUCUUUGAACGCACAUUGCGCCCGCCAGUAUUCUGGCGGGCAUGCCUGUUCGAGCGUCAUUUCAACCAUCAAGCCCCGGGCUUGUGUUGGGGACCUGCGGCUGCCGCAGGCCCUGAAAUGCAGUGGCGGGCUCGCUGUCACUCCGAGCGUAGUAGUUACAUCUCGCUCUGGGCGUGCUGCGGGUUCCGGCCGUUAAAAGCCUUUUUUACCCAAGGUUGACCUCGGAUCAGGUAGGAAGACCCGCUGAACUUAAGCAUAUCAAUAAGCGGAGGA
rnacentral:misc_RNA from 1 species